rnacentral:misc_RNA from 1 species
UCCUCUCCUCUCUUUCACGCCCCCCCCCCUCUCCCCUCUUACCUCCUCCUACAAGAUGACGGUCGCCCCAGGAGAAAAGGGAAUAGGGGGAAUAGGAAUAGGAGGAGGAGAAGGAGGAGGAAAACAAGAUGUCGAGCUUGGCGACAAUAAUCGAAACGGCUACUCGACCGAAAAAAAGAUGAACGGAGAGAAGCACGUCGAAGAGAAGAAAGAGAAGGACGAGGACGAAGAAGAGGAGGAGGAGACCCAAGGAAGCAGUGAGGUGUUCGAAGUCAUCAUGAAGCACGUGGGGAGCUUCGGCAAGUGGCAGUGGAGGAUGUUCUUCAUCACUUCCUUCUGUGGGGUUUUCACCGCCUUCCAUAAUCUGGCAGCAGUGUUCCUGGCUGCCAACCCCGAACACUGGUGUCACGUGGCGGCCCUCGACGGUGUCAACACAGACUACGAUCUACGCAACGUGUCCAUUCCCUGGAAUCAAGAUACUGACGGAGAGGGAAAGUACUCGAAAUGUACUUACUACGACAGAGACUGGCCGAGGUUGGUAGCCAGCGGCGUGCUCAAUGGGUCGACGCCCCCGGACUUACCUAUGAAUCAGUCAACAGCUGUUUGCAAUGAAUGGCAGUACGACCACUCCAUCUACGAGACUACGGUCGUUGAAGAGUGGGAUCUGGUGUGUGAUAACAAGUACCUCAUGUCGACGGUACAGUCAACCUUCAUGGCUGGCGUGUUAACCGGAGCUGUCGUUUUGAGUGAGCUUUCUGACAAAUACGGGCGGCGCACCAUCUCCCUCCUGUCGGCGGUGGGUAUCCUGGUGUCCUCUGUGGCGGUCACCUUCGUCAGGCACUAUGAGCUCUUCAUUACUCUGAGGUUCUUCGUUGCCGCCUUCGGGUCCGGUCUCUUCUUGCCCAAUUUCGUGUUGCUGAUGGAAGUGGUGGGUCCGGAAGCGCGUACCAUAAUGGGCAUGAUGUACCAGGCCUUCUUCAGCGUGGGAUUUAUGCUCCUUCCGGGCAUCGCCUAUUUCGUCAGGGACUGGAGGAACCUCGAGCUCUGCAUCUCGGUUCCUACGGUUGUUCUUCUUCUUUAUUACUGGCUGCUUCCGGAGUCGCCCCGAUGGCUGAUGCAACAAGGGCGCCACGAGGAGGGCAUCGAGAUUCUGGCGAAGGCGGCGAAGGUGAACGGGGGGAAGUUGCCAGAGAAGGAGGAACUCGAGAGGCUCAUGAACAAAAUAACUGUGUCUUUAGAACCAGACCAAAAGAUAGCACAGGAAAUGGAAGACUCCGCGGUCUCGGCCAGCUUCUUCGAGAAAAUCGUCAAUUUCUUCAAGAGCAUCGUGACCCUCCUGAGUACCAAGAACAUGCGGAGACGUUGCCUCAUCAUCUUCUUCGCCUGGUUCGUCGUGAGUAUGGUAUACUACGGCCUCACCUUCAGCGGGGGCAAUAUCGACGCUUCGGUAUACCUCAUGGUCUUUAUGAGCGGCCUGGUGGAGAUUCCUUCGUACCUCCUCGUCUGUUGGACUCUGAAGAAAUUUGGGCGGCGCCUCAACCUCUGCGUUCUCUUCAUCAUCUGCGGCGCCGCUUGUCUGCUGAUCCUUGCAGUGCCGAAAGAACAAGUAUGGCUGAACCUGACCCUGGCGACCAUCGGGAAAUUCUUCAACUCCUCUGCCUUCGGCGUCGCCUACAUCUACUCGGCGGAGCUCGUGCCGACGGGCGUGCGGAACAUCAGCGUCGGGACGUCGUCCAUGUGCGCGCGAAUCGGCUCUGCGCUUGCGCCGUUCAUUGUUGAUUUGUUGGGCGACGUGCACUACGCUGUGCCCUCCACAGUCUUCGGCCUACUCUCUGUCGCGGCGGGUCUGCUGGCGCUUCUGCUGCCGGAAACGGGGAACAGCAGACUUCCGGAAACCGUAGAGGAAGUCGAGGCCAUGCCCAGGUAGCGGGGAUUCGGACGCGACGAAAGGUGAUGCUGCUUCCUGGAGGUGCGGGGAGGGUGGAGGCGACCAAGUGUUUCUGCAGCAAAGGUUCGAGAGGUAUCUUCUUCGUCUUCCGAAGGAGGAAAAGAAGUCAGAAAAUGAGAAGAAAAGAAAUGGAGAGAACGACCGGGAGAUGGAGGGGUGAUUUUGGCUGGUUCAUAUCCGUGGUCGGUUUGAACUUGGUUUAAAUCACACACGCUUACAUAAAC